GACGAACGCUGGCGGCGUGCUUAACACAUGCAAGUCGAACGGUGAAGCUCCAGCUUGCUGGUGUGGAUCAGUGGCGAACGGGUGAGUAACACGUGAGCAACCUGCCCCUGACUCUGGAAUAAGCGCUGGAAACGGCGUCUAAUACUGGAUACGAGAAGGGCCCGCAUGGGCACUUUCUGGAAAGUUUUUCGGUUGGGGAUGGGCUCGCGGCCUAUCAGCUUGUUGGUGAGGUAAUGGCUCACCAAGGCGACGACGGGUAGCCGGCCUGAGAGGGCGACCGGCCACACUGGGACUGAGACACGGCCCAGACUCCUACGGGAGGCAGCAGUGGGGAAUAUUGCACAAUGGGCGAAAGCCUGAUGCAGCGACGCCGCGUGAGGGAUGACGGCCUUCGGGUUGUAAACCUCUUUCAGCAGGGAAGAAGCGAAAGUGACGGUACCUGCAGAAGAAGCACCGGCUAACUACGUG
rnacentral:rRNA from 1 species